rnacentral:rRNA from 1 species
UACGUAGGGAGCAAGCGUUGUCCGGAAUCAUUGGGCGUAAAGCGCGCGUAGGCGGCCCUGUAAGUCCGUUGUGAAAGACAAAGGCUCAACCUUUGAAAGCCGAUGGAUACUGCAGGGCUAGAGUCCGGAAGAGGCGAGUGGAAUUCCUGGUGUAGCGGUGGAAUGCGCAGAUAUCAGGAAGAACACCCGUGGCGAAGGCGGCUCUCUGGGACGGUACUGACGCUGAGACGCGAAAGCGUGGGGAGCGAACAGG